rnacentral:rRNA from 1 species
UAGGGAAUCUUCCACAAUGGACGAAAGUCUGAUGGAGCAACGCCGCGUGAGUGAAGAAGGGUUUUCGGCUCGUAAAACUCUGUUGUUAAAGAAGAACAUAUCUGAGAGUAACUGUUCAGGUAUUGACGGUAUUUAACCAGAAAGCCACGGCUAACUACGUGCCCG